rnacentral:rRNA from 1 species
AUUGAACGCUGGCGGCAGGCUUAACACAUGCAAGUCGAGCGGAAACGAUGGUAGCUUGCUACCAGGCGUCGAGCGGCGGACGGGUGAGUAACACUUAGGAAUCUACCUAGUAGUGGGGGAUAGCACGGGGAAACUCGUAUUAAUACCGCAUACGACCUACGGGAGAAAGGGGGCAGUUUACUGCUCUCGCUAUUAGAUGAGCCUAAGUCGGAUUAGCUAGAUGGUGGGGUAAAGGCCUACCAUGGCGACGAUCUGUAGCUGGUCUGAGAGGAUGAUCAGCCACACCGGGACUGAGACACGGCCCGGACUCCUACGGGAGGCAGCAGUGGGGAAUAUUGGACAAUGGGGGAAACCCUGAUCCAGCCAUGCCGCGUGUGUGAAGAAGGCCUUUUGGUUGUAAAGCACUUUAAGCAGUGAAGAAGACUCCAUGGUUAAUACCCAUGGACGAUGACAUUAGCUGCAGAAUAAGCACCGGCUAACUCUGUGCCAGCAGCCGCGGUAAUACAGAGGGUGCAAGCGUUAAUCGGAAUUACUGGGCGUAAAGGGAGCGUAGGUGGCUCUAUAAGUCAGAUGUGAAAUCCCCGGGCUUAACCUGGGAACUGCAUCUGAAACUGUAGAGCUAGAGUAUGUGAGAGGAAGGUAGAAUUCCAGGUGUAGCGGUGAAAUGCGUAGAGAUCUGGAGGAAUACCGAUGGCGAAGGCAGCCUUCUGGCAUAAUACUGACACUGAGGCUCGAAAGCGUGGGUAGCAAACAGG